UACACCUCCCGUUACAGAGGGGGCGGGACCAGCCUCAGACCUCCCUGCCCGGGGCAGCUGGAGAGGUUUCAGUACCAUGACUGGCAUAUUGGUCCCGUAAGAUAAGGUUAGAGGUGAGCUGCGCUGGCUGGACACGACCAGAGGACUGACGAUGGGAACGGCCGCAGAGACGUCGCAACAGGACGCGAAAAGCCAGCGGCGCACGGGAGCGGAAAUGAGGCGGGCAUCCGGCCCAGAGCCGCCCGGCAGAGAGCACGUCCGCAACCACAGGCAACGCGAGGGCCUGCACUGCUUCAGCCAUUACUGCUCGGCUCAUUCAGAUGAAGAAGAUGAGGAGGUUGUUAAAUCGUCGUCAUCCUCUCUGUGUUAAAUGGCCAGGGAAGGGAGAGAACCGUGGAUAUGGCAGACUCAGCAGGACGUCUACGGGACUUUGAAGGAAUGGGAUUUAUUACGAGCUCUGAAGCGGCCAUUACUGUCUGAAGACACGGAGAGGCAGAGGGGCCGGUGGGCUCUGGGGGGCAGCUGUGGGGUCAGAGCCAAGGGCGCCGGCCGGGGGUCAGGCUGCUCCUUCCUACUCAUGAUCAGAUCGGGACAGGAGCCUGAGGCAGACAGCGACAAGAAAGCACCAGUGAGGAGGUUUAGCAGAAGGUGUGCAACAUCUCUCUCUUUCAUCGAGGCAAGCCCAUAACUGCAGGAAUUACAUAUCACAGAACAAAUUGCACAAUUUACAAAAAAAAAAAAAAAAAAAAAAAAAAAAAA